UACGGGGGGUGCGAGCGUUGUCCGGAAUCACUGGGCGUAAAGGGCGCGUAGGUGGUUUGAUAAGGGUGUGGUGAAAGUCCGGGGCUCAACCCCGGAUCUGCCGUGCCGACUGUCAAACUCGAGGGCUGUAGAGGCAGACGGAAUUCCGGGUGUAGCGGUGGAAUGCGUAGAUAUCAGGAGGAACACCGGUGGUGUAAACGGCUCUCUGGACCGUAACUGACGCUGAGACACGAAAGCGUGGGUAGCAAACAGG
rnacentral:rRNA from 1 species